GAUGAACGCUAGCGGCAGGCCUAAUACAUGCAAGUCGAACGGUAACAGGUCCUUCGGGACGCUGACGAGUGGCGGACGGGUGCGUAACGCGUAUGCAACCUACCUUUCAGCGGGGGAUAGCCUGGAGAAAUUCAGAUUAAUACCGCAUGACAUAUUUGAAUCGCAUGGUUUGAAUAUCAAAGAAUUUUGCUGAAAGAUGGGCAUGCGUGACAUUAGCUAGUUGGUGAGGUAACAGCUCACCAAGGCGACGAUGUCUAGCUGGUCUGAGAGGAUGAUCAGCCACACUGGGACUGAGACACGGCCCAGACUCCUACGGGAGGCAGCAGUAGGGAAUAUUGGACAAUGGGCGCAAGCCUGAUCCAGCCAUGCCGCGUGGAGGAAGAAGGACCUCUGGUUUGUAAACUUCUUUUCUUAAGGAAUAAAAGGUAGCUACACGCUGCUCUGAAGGUACUUAAGGAAUAAGCACCGGCUAACUCCG
rnacentral:rRNA from 1 species